CCUACGGGGGAAAAAUUUAUUGCUAUUAGAUGAGCCUACAUUAGAUUAGCUAGUUGGUGGAGUAAUAGCCUACCAAGGCAAUGAUCUAUAGCUGAUCUGAGAGGAUGAUCAGCCACACUGGAACUGAGAUACGGUCCAGACUCCUACGGGAGGCAGCAGUGGGGAAUAUUGGACAAUGGGCGAAAGCCUGAUCCAGCCAUGCCGCAUGAGUGAAGAAGGCCUUUGGGUUGUAAAGCUCUUUUAGUGAGGAAGAUAAUGACGGUACUCACAGAAGAAGUCCUGGCUAACUCCGUGCCAGCAGCCGCGGUAAUACGGAGAGGGCUAGCGUUAUUCGGAAUUAUUGGGCGUAAAGGGCGCGUAGGCGGAUUAGUAAGUUAAAAGUGAAAUCCCAAGGCUCAACCUUGGAAUUGCUUUUAAAACUGCUAAUCUAGAGAUUGAAAGAGGAUAGAGGAAUUCCUAGUGUAGAGGUGAAAUUCGUAAAUAUUAGGAGGAACACCAGUGGCAAAGGCGUCUAUCUGGUUCAAAUCUGACGCUGAGGCGCGAAGGCGUGGGGAGCAAACAGGAUUAGAUACCCUGGUAGUCCACGCUGUAAACGAUGAAUGUUAAAUAUGGGAAGUUUUACUUUCUGUAUUACAGCUAACGCGUUAAACAUUCCGCCUGGGGACUACGGUCGCAAGAUUAAAACUCAAAGGAAUUGACGGGGACCCGCACAAGCGGUGGAGCUUGUGGUUUAAUUCGAUGCAACGCGAAAAACCUUACCACUCCUUGACAUGGAAAUUAUACCUAUUCGAAGGGAUAGG
rnacentral:rRNA from 1 species